GCGCCGUCUGUUCAAACGCGAUGUGAUUGGCUGCCUCCCCGCGCAGCCGUUUGAAAAGUUGAGGCGCGCAUUUAGCGCGAGCGCCGCCUUGUUGUUGUUGUUAGCACCGGUUAGCACCUGGAGCUAGCUAGCUAGCUAGCUAGCUAGCAGCGAGCGAGCUGAGUCACUCUGACAAGACUCGAAGCUUUUCCCAAAGAAAGAGAGUGAAGACGACAGGUGAAGGUGAAACGAGAGGAGAUGGAGUUUUAUCUCCCGUGUGGUUGAAGCAGCAGAGGAGUCAGGACGUGAGCACAAACUCGGGUCGCUGUUCCAGGUUGCCGGUGCCUGUCCACACCACUGUGAUGACGGAGAGAGAAAACAGCCCUGAUGUACGAUUCCUGGUCUGUCACGACAGCUUUGUAUCAGUGUAACUUGGAAAGUGGCCUGGAGUUUGUUGAUGGCACCAUGAGCGGAAUUAGACGGCUGCCGCUGCCAAAUGAGGAUGCUGCGACAGAGGCCGGGAAAAUACCUUUAAUCCCAGACAAACAAGCAUCUUUGGCUAGAAACUAGAGAAACGAGUGAAAUGGACCAUGGAGAGGAAAGUGACAAGAGCAAUAACCUGCGGCUUCUGAACGAUUCACAUUGGAAUAAGACUGAUCGCUGUGUUUGGAGGUGAGGACACUUGGUCAAAUGUAAAUGUGUCAUCUCAAGCAGAGGAAAAUAGCCAGCGUAUCUGUUUCUGAUGUGUUAAACCUCCAGCACGGGUUAUUUUGUCUGAUUACAGUACAACUCAGACCCGACUUCAUCCCUUCUACUGACCCUCAUUUCUUUUCCUUUUUUGCUACUCAGGGAGUUAGAUCUAAACUUUGACAUGCACAAAUCACGAGGCUAUCCAGUGUGCAUCCAGGCUGAAAGACGGGACUGACCUUUCGUUCAGGAGAUAUUAUUUGUUGUUAUAGCUGCACAGCAGAGCCGCGAAGGUCUGCUCACUGCUGCUUGCCUGGCUGCAGCGAGUGCAAGGACAUAAGGACAGAAGUAAUGACGGCAAAAUGUUUGAGGAAUGGGCUGUGAUUCCUUUAGUCUGUGGACUGGUUGCCAUGCCCCCACUGUUUAUGUUUACAACACCCCACCACCACCCACACUAUUUCCAUGCCCACACCCGAGAGCUGUGUAGGUGUGUAAAGACUCUGCUUGUUUGACAUCUUCCUCAGCUUCUUGCUCGGCUUCAUCGCUCUGUCAUUUCUGUACGUGGCGUUUGCUGACCUCUCGUAUAGUCCCGAUAUGCUGUUGCUCUGCUUUUUUAGCUUGUUCCUUUAAUGUCAUCAGACAUAAUAUAAGUGAAGGCACCUGUGCUCUCAUGUAGUUCACCUUCACAACUUUGUGGUCAACUUUCGUUUUUUUGACAUAUUGAUUUAAUUUGGGAGUUUUAUUACUCAAUAAUAAGCAAAACUAUCUUGUCAAGACGAAGAAAAAACAGCUUAAACUCCAACUGGAACCUGAUGAAGCUCAUCUGUCUAGUUACUUAUCAUGUAUGAUGGAUUGGUUGCACUUUAAAAUAUAUACAUGUUCCCAACUCCGCUCCGCCACUUGAUUGAGAGCUCCUUCAACUGCUCGGUGAGGAGACGCAGCUCUAGGCAGCUAUUUUCACUGCUAUUGAAAGUUCUUUUAAUUUGAGGGCACUGGUAGUGAGUCUCAUGAAAAGUGGGAGUGGUCUUAAUGGGACCCCGAGGUGGAGGUCGAGUUGAUGCGCUCAAUGUUAUAUGUCUGACUUCUUUUAACUGGCAGGAGAGUUGGGUCAUAUAAUACACAGGCAUGACGGGUGCUGCAGGACUCAACAGAUAUGUCACAGUUGUUUUUUCGGGGGGGUUAUUCUGAUUUUUUUUUGCACCAUAUAUGUGAAAUAUAUGUGGACACUGAAAAAUGUGAAUACUGGUCAAAAUACAGAUUUCUUUUUUUGUGUGUUUUUAAACUUAAAGUUUAUUAGUUAUAGUUUAGAAUUUCAAACCUUUUUUUAUUUACUAUUUUAUUCUCUAUGUAACUAACUAUUAUUGUAGUUAUGCCAAUAUAUAUUGUACCAUCUAAAAUAUUACUGCUGAUACAUUUAUUAUCUCAUUUGAAAAUAAGCAUCUCAAUAGGACUUCCCUGAUGAAAUAAAGGUUAACAUAUGUGAUUAGAGGGUGGGGGUGGCCCAGUGUGACAUUUUGUCAGAGGAGGCAGAAUUUUGAGUAGCACCCCUGCUUGUAAAAACCUUGUAAGCUUCUUUACCAACACACCCAAAGAGAAAAAAAAAACAACUCAUUACUAGCCUCAGAAAAAGAAAAAAACAGACCACGGUUAGGGGUUAAAGUUCACACCACAGGGCACAGAAUGAAAGACCUCUGCUCUCAGGUUAGACAAAUGAAAGGACAGAGAUUGAUUUUUCAUACAACAUCAUCAUAAUCACAUAAUAUUUCAUACAAUCAGUAUUAUCUGAAACUUAGUCAAGUUAAAGGUCCUUUGCAGUUGAAGAAACACUAAUUUCUCUAUCUUGUUUUUGCCUGUUUAUCCAUGGUGUUCAUUAUUUCUUAUAUUAACUAUAUUGCUGAAAUGUCAAAACCAGUACUUACUAUGUGCCGUAGUAACUGCAUGAAAUCUACAACACAAAUUGUACAUUAAAAAAAUUAAGUUUGGAAGCAUUUUUUGCAAACAAGACAGUAUUUUUUCCCCUCUUUUUAAUCAAAAUAUUGUAAAUCAGUCUGAAGAUUAGACUCCAGAUUCCCGACACCUUUCUCGUGGAGAGCGUUUUCUGUAAGAGCUUUUAUUAGUUGCUCUGAAAACACGGCGGGUGCACAGCAGAGACGGAAAGAUGCGGCUGCUCCUGCCAGUAAGCAAUUGGCCGCCUGCUGAGGGUAUGCACUCGCACUGGGAAAUUGAUUUAAUAUAUAUUGUAUGGAGACAUAUCAAUGCAAUCGUGGUGGUCCUUUUUUGUUUUUAAUUUUUUAAGUAUCAACCGUGCAGUUUUUAUGGAUAUCCAUCAAGAGGUCUUUAUCAUGAAGAGACAAAAAAAAGGAGAAGACACACCCGUUCAAAAUGUCAAGUUAGAAAGGUGCUAAUGUGUGUGAUCACAUUAAUCGUCUGACAGGAUCUCACUUCCAGCAGUUAGUCCAUUAUGAUUCACACUGAUGUGAGGUCCAAGUGUCAGGUGUCAUAAUUUAAUUGUGUUGUUUUCUACUUCUCAGGGAUACUUGAGGGAUGCAGCAAAAGCGGCGUAAUGCAGAAGAAGUCCACCUCUGCUCCCGCUCGUUCCCCCUCUCUUUCCCGUUCUCCCUCUCUCUCUUCUUAAUUGGAGACACUGGGGGUUCACGUCACUUUUCACUUUAAUCUUGACCUUAGGAGAUAAACCACUGAUAAAGAUGAGAAUCAUUAUCUGCACAGAAAAUUCAAGGAAUCAUUUCCUCGGCUCAUGUUCUAUUCAUUAAUGGGAGAGCACUUUUGUAGUGGAGGAUAUCUUGAGUUCGCAGACAUGCCCCGAGAUCUCUGACAGAUCCCGGCCGUUGUCGGAGACUGUGUGUUGCCCGGUCAAUUACGUUUUUUAUGAAGAGGAUGCCUUUAAUGAUAUUUGGAAAUUACAUUUGCCAAGUUAUUCAACCUCUUAAGAGCUGUUUAUAAUGGUCUCAGCAGGUGUCUCAACUAAAAACAAUAUUGAAAAUCUGAAAAUGGCUUUAAACAGGGCCGUGCACAACCCUGAUGAAUUGGUCAAAUUAGACCUUCUCCUGAGAAGCACUUCCAUCAAUUAUUCAACAGAACGGAAAUAAAUACUUCCAAGUAAGGUUGCAAACUGAAAGAAAACAGUGAGUUCACCCUGUUUAUUAUCAAUAAAUAAGAAAUUAGACUCUUUUGUCUGACCAUGUGCUAAUAAUAGUGGAUUUAUUACUUAAAAGGUUUUUGGUUUUUUUCUUUUUCAUUUAAUGAUUUUAAACGGCAGUAGACAAAAGCAAGAUUCUCAUUUCUAGCACGAAUAGAUUUUACCAUCAAGCAAACAUUUGUUUUGUGAGAUGGUUUAAAAAAUAUGAUUGUUGGCAUUAUCUUUAAAUGUUUCAAGAUGGCUCUGUUCAAAACAAAAACAAAAGAUCAUUUUUUAUUUAGUGAUUAAAUGCUGUAAAAACUAUCAUUGGCAGGUUGUGAUUGGUCGAGUGCGUGAUUUCAAUACUCCCCUCCACAAUCACUACUGCGCAGACUCUGGCUUCAGUUUUGUAGCUUGUGAGGAAGUAGGGACAUGACGUCCAUCUUCAUAUACAUUGGUUC
rnacentral:lncRNA from 1 species